rnacentral:misc_RNA from 1 species
GAGUUCAAACCGCGGACCUCAGUAGUGUAGUCACGGUUCUGCUCGCGUGUGCGUGUGGGUCAAAGAAAGCGCCACGGACGGAGGGGAAAAAACAAAUAAACACAAACAACAAAGGGAAAGCAAACCACAACAGAACGGCAGAUUACAUAAAGCGGCCUCUUCCACAGCAACAGCAACAACCGCAGUCGCAUCACUCUCAGCUCCACAUUUUCUCUUCCUUUUUUUUUUCACACCUUCUCCUUCUAGCCGAGGUUUCUGCGCUCCGCCUUUCUUGGACUCUCUCAUUUCUUCUUCACACCUGAUCUGCCCCCUCUCCUUCUUUUUGUUUUCGUGCUUCUUGUCGUGCUCGUGAGCAGAUCUAAACGAUCCCUUGCCCCCACUCCUUUUCUUCGCUUACCCUCGCAACGCCACAGGCACACGGAUAUCGUAAAACAGCAAACACACUGGCAGCCAACAGAGUCGGUGACCGCUUAGCUGAAGAUCGGGGCUCACCUUCGUUUCUUUCGGUCUCUGAGAAGCAACAACAUUUUUUUUUCCCGUCUCUUCGGUUGUAUUCGUCGCACGCCCAUUCGGCGUGUGUCUGUGGUACUCUUGUUUCUCCUUUUUUUUCGUUCGAGUUGUUGUACGUCUUUACCUCCAUCGUUUGUGGAUUGUGGUGACAUUUUCUUUUUUUUUUAGGGUGCUUCGCCCUGCCCUCCCUUUCUUUGUUGGUCAUCGAUUCGAGGCGGUGCGUGCGUUUCUGGGCACACCCUGUAUAUCUGCCUAUGUGAAUCAAGCAAGUUAGGUGAGUGGAAAGCAACACGCCUGACUCGAGAGUCUUUUUGGCGAGAGACGUCGCGCGCGCGUGUGUCGGAAAGAUCGGGGAUCCGUGUAUCUCUCUCUAUCGCGUUCGUUGAGCGCAUUUGCUUGCUCGCAUUUUUUCUUUUUUUUGCGAGGGCGAUUUUUCUUCGUCACCUUUGCCCCCCCCCCCUAUACCUCCAACUUCCUCUUCCCCCUUUCUUUGUAUUGUUCUCCUGAUACUCUUCCUCUGUUUUGUGCUGUGUGUUGUGGUGCUCCUUUGUUUUACGGUUUACGUCUCCGUGCCUUCGGCUGUGGGUGUUGCGUCACGCUGUUUGUGAGCCGUUUCGUGAUUAGUGCGCUCGUGCGCGCGUGUCUCCCUCUCUUUUCCUUGUGUGUGUGCAUGUAUGUAUGCGUGUAUGUGUGACUGUUGUGCGACUCGCUUGGUUGACCUUUGCCAGCUUUGUUGGUGUUCGUUCGUCCACGCGUUUCUCGUUGUAUUUCUCCCGAGGUAUCGGUGGAGUCGUCUGACGUCUCCCCAGUUUGCUUCUGUCUUUCCUCUUUUUCGUUCCGUUGCUGUGAUUCUCUUUUUGGCGCUCUUCCGCUACGUUGCCUCUGCCUCAGUGUUGAACCGAAAACGGAAGGCAGGCUUUCCUUUAUUUAUUUUUGCUCUGUUUCUCACUCACUCCCGGCCCGUUGGUGUCUGCGUAGGUGUGUGCCACUGCUGCGUCGUUGUUGGCUUUUCGGAGUCGUGCCCAUCAGCUCUUCCCUCCGUCUCUCUCCCCUCUUCGCUUUGAAGCGCUCUCUACGCGUUCUGGUUGAGUGCUUCGCUCAUCUCUUCCCUGGCACCUGUCUCUCUCUGAGUCAACUCCUUUUUUUUUUCUGGUUAUCUCUGAUCCGUCUCAUUUGCCGCUGCUGGUGCCGGAUUGCAUUGCUUGGGUCUCUGCGCGUGUGUGUGUGUGCUGCCGAGCGGUGUCUUAAAGUGUUUUCUAGUCUCUGGCGUUCUCUGUGACGCCCGCCCAUCUGCCCUUGUUCUGCGACACUAUUCUCUUUUCACAGCGUGCCCCAACCCCCUCCUACCCCACCCCACCCACGCCCGCUCCUUUUGUUGUUAUCUCUGUUCUCGAUUGUGCGAGCGCCGCUUCGUUCUCGUUUGGCGUUUUGACGCUUUAUGCGGCUGGAGGCUCUGCCCUUGAAGGAUUAGGCAGUGAUUUUUUGUUCUCGUGUUGCUGUAGCUCAUUUUCCAGGUCCUGAUCGUGACGCCGUUUUCCUCUUCUUCCUUCCGUUUGUGUCUUUGUGUGCCCCCGCUACCAACACCACCAUCUGCACUGCUCAACUUCUUCAUCCAUCGGUCGACGCACUUGCUUCCCGUUUACGCCUUCGCUUUUUGUGCCUUCUCACGUUUUCUCAGUACCCCCUCCCCGUCUCUCUGAACGCGUGUAUGUGUGUAGCUUCUUCUUUGCGUGAGGUGCUUUUGCUCUCUCUCUCUCGUGCUCUCGCUUUCGAUUCUCAUCGUUGCCCCAUUUUCUUCGUCUUUUUUUUUCAUCCCUCGUCUGCCGUGUCUCGUGCAUUGGUGUGCGUGUGUUGCCGUUGUACGUGUGGUCUGCUCGCUCUUUAUUGUCGGGCCACUCACUUCCUCUCGCGUCUUCCUGUGCCCGCUGUCCGCCUCUCCUCCCCCCUUUUCCUCUCUCACUUUCUUUUCCUCGCUCUCUCCGUGCAACGACAGCGCUGCCUCGAAGAGCCGUACUAGGAUACACGGCUCUCGCAUCUGUUCUGCGACCAGCAAGCGGGACAUAGUAUAAUCGGCCUUUGUCUGAUCUGCAACACAGAAAAGAAAAAAAAAACAGAGAAGCAAAGGAGAAGUGAGCGCAGAAGGAGCGUGCUGGGAGGCCCGGGCGUUGCGUCUUGAAGGCGUCUUUUUCCUUUCUUUUGUAUUGCUCUGUUUUGUUUCCUCUCCCCUCUUCCCUCUUUGCGGUUCUUUUUGUCUCCCUUCUGCUCCUCUUCCCCUCCCCAAAGUCGUCGUUAAUGGGUGCUUUAUCUGUUCCUCUACUUUCAACCUCGUCCUCCUGCUGCUGCUGCUGCUGCUGCUGCUGCUCUCCCUCUCUCCAUCUCUCACGUUUUUUCUUUUUUGCUCUUGUUGAUCUUUUUUUUCGUGUAGCUCGUACUCAUUCCUACGGCCCAACCCCAGAGCAAGGGGUGCGGGCCAGUCUCGUGGUUAUUCGGCGUUCGAAGGGUGCAGAGCACAUCAAGAGGCACGCCGUUUGCGCGCUUCUUCGGGCUCUGGGUCGGCGUCGACGGACAGAACGGCGACAUAGAGCCUACCACGCUGUUCUCCAUUACACGGAAGCACUGCGGCAAUGACGAUGGGCUCGCUAGCAUUGCUGAGCGACAUUCGCGCAGCUUACUUGGCAGGCUACGACGCAGUCCAGCGAUCGGGCGAAAAGAUUCUCAGUCCCGUCCGGGGCGCCAUAGAAAGGGCCAAGACGACGGCAGUAACCAAGGCCGCACGGCAGCGCCUCGAGGAGCACCUCCGAUUGCUUUGCACCACCAUUUGCAUCUCGGGCGAAGAGUACGUGAGGACAUUUCCGGCAAACCUCUACGUGCCGUUGUUGACGGAGAUCUUAACGGCCGCCAAUGUGGCGCAGAGAAGCGACGGCUACGUCAUGAACCCCUUGUCAUCGGAAGUGUGCGACAGCGACAUGCCUUCCUACUUUAGCGUUGCGAACCAGCCAUCGCACAAGGUGGGGCUAGCGAGCCGCUCGAAUAAGCUCUUGUCCUCAUGCUUGCCGGCUCUUGGCAUGCAGGCCGCAUCGCCUGUGGCGGUUUUCGCGCUACGAGCACUCGCGCUCAUUGCGGACAUGGUGCCCAGCGGCAGCUUCGCGUUCUGCCCCAGCCGAAGCAAGGACACCAUCGCAACUUUGGCGCUUUACCUCAGCGAUCCGGAAUUCCUAGUCGUCAAUGAGGACCUUGCUGAGGAGCUGCUCAAGUGCUUUCUGUACGUCUCCAUGCUCACGUACGACGCAUGCAUUGACGCACGGGUGCCCGCGCGUACCGUAGAAAUGCUACUCUCCUUGGAGCCCCACCACCUGCGCGUCCUGUGCGUCCAAGUGGUGUCGAACCUCCUCGCGCGCGCGCGGGAGUCGGACCUGGAGGGGGUGUGGGCACCCGUGAUGGCGAAGUUGCUCGAGUCGUUCGACAGCUUCCUCCUCGAAAGCUCAUUUCGCCUUAGCGCGCCUGAGACAACGCCCCAGGUGGCGACAGAUGGCUCCUCCACGCCAACAGCGGCGACAGUAGCUGAUACCACUGCAUUCACCACGCCCACCGCUGCGCGCUCGCUCACACGCAAGGAGGCGACGCUGCUGCAGCACUACAUGGAGGCGAUUGCGCAUGCCGUCGACCGCCUCUUUGUUGGCGUUGCUUCGAUGAAGGCACAUAAGAAGCUUCUGGAUCACAUGAUCCGAGUGUGCGUGCAGGUGCUGCAACUUUCUCUGAACAUUAUACCUUCCACGUGCGGCGAGUGGCUCCGCUCCGUCGCUCUCUCGCCGAUUCUCGCCUUUUAUCUGACCAAUCCGCCGUUUGUGUUGCCAGUUUUGCUGCAGCUGCACGUCUGGGAGGCCGUUUGUGGCUGCAUGCUGACGCUUGUGGAGCGGCGGGCGGUGGGGACCAGAGCCUCCGGCGCAGCUGCUGGCAUUACAGCUCUUGAGAGUGAGGUAGCGGGCGGUGCACCAGAUGACAGCGCUGCCAUGCAGGGCAACAGCUCUGCGCACACCACAUCGUCCGCGGCGGCAUCGUCAACGUCGCUGGAAUCAAAUGCGCAGCGCGGCAGGGGCGAGGACGACAGUAGCAAUGCGGUGGCAGAUGCGACGCGGUCCAGCGCGGCCAGGCGUGGAGUUCCCGCUCUGUCAACAGGCCCGGUCCUAACAACAGAUGUUACCACGAUUCCCUUCAUUGCCGAUGAACUGCGACUGCUCCCGCUGCUGGAGUUUUUGCUAGUGCUGCUCCCAUGCGCUCGCCGCGGGCACUCUCACACCGACUUCCGCCACAUGACCCUCCCCUACUUCGGCUGGACCUGGGAGGACGACUUCCACAACGAGACGGAGUGCAACGAGGCGCUGUCGCGGCGGCUCGAGCGCGUUUAUCAGCAGACGCGCAGCUGCCGCAAGCACGAACUCUUUGCAAUAACACACGGAAAGCAGCGCGUCUUUUACACCGAUUUCCUGAGCAAGUCGUACGUGAGCGAGCGGCGGGAGCGCCACUGUCUGCACCGCAAGCCCCUUCUGACGGGCUACGUGCAUGGCACGCAAGACGCACUGCUGCGCGGCUGCACCUGCUGCGCUUCUGAGCCCGCCCCCCGCUUUUCGACCUGGGUGAACCGUAACUACAUGCGACUUCGCACGGCAGACACCGAGGCCAGCGGCCGGCGCGGGGAGUUUCCCUCUUCCUCUUCUUCCUCUUGUGCCUCCUCCGGCGACGCAGCGGACGAAGAGGACGGCUCACAGGCACCAGGGUCAGCACCGCAGUCGUCCGCAAUGGCGCGGGGCUCCUCGUCUCCGUCGCUGCACUCGAACAGCGCGAGAAAUAGGGGAAGGGGCUAUGUCUCCCCAUCCUCGUCCCCCCACCGGCUCCACCGGAUAAACACGCUGCAAACACCCAACGUUCGCGCUAGUGACGCCGACGAUGGGGGCGGAAAUCGCGACACUACCACGAGCCCGUCGGCAAGUGAGCGGCCGAGAGGCUCAGGCACCACUCGCGAGGGCAGCGGAGGUGCGACCAUUGUGCACCACGGCAACCGCCUUCCUCACCCCGCAUACAGCGGGGUAGACGAAGUGGAUGCAGAUGACGAGGACUGCUACAACAGUAUUAACGGACACCAGGACGAGCCGCAGCAGCGCAACCCGCGCCGCCGCGGCGGUGGGCUAGGCUUCCUGCUGUGCCGGUGCGACAGUGACACCACUGCAAGCUCUCAGGGCCGCAGCCGGCAGAUGCAUAUGAGAGGCUAUCUUCCUGAAACACCACCCUUUACCCGCCACCGAAAUGACUCGCUCGCCAUUACGGUGCUGCCGAUGGAGGCAGUACUGGAGAGCCCUGGGGAGCGACUUCAGGCCGACCCGUCGACCCGCAAGUCAUUUCUUGGCAAGGGCGUUCUUUCAAGCAUGCUGGUCACCGUUGUGCCGGCGCUGCUCAGCGUGCUGGACAAUUGCGUGAACCCGGUUGUGGCGCGGCACAGUGUGACACUGUUACUGCGGUGUCUCUCCCUCAGUGCCGACUUACGAACCCAGGUGACCGGCGAGUCGAUUGAGCUCUUCACGGGUAGCCGCUCGGGAGAGGAGGCGGCCGUUGCGGCGGCAGCGUCGGAGGUGAGCGAGAAAAGUGGGUGGCGGCGCAUGUCGUUUCGUAAAUGGAUCACCGGCGGAAGUGGCAGCAGGCCGAGGCGGUGGCAGCGCGUGGAGUGGGAGGCGACGCAGGCGGCACUGCAGCGACUUGUCCCUUCCCUACGCGAAGUCUUGGUGAGCCUGUACGUCGCAGACGGCGUGAACAUUGUGGCGGAGCGGCAGGAAACAUUUGGGUACAUGCGCGACGACCUCUUGGUGGCGGACGAGUUGGCCCGCGUUGGACUGUCAACCGAGUUUUUCGGCUUCCAGUUGGCCUUGCCGUCUGAGUUGCACGUGUGCACGGCUGACGCGAUCGCGCUCCUGCUCCGCCUCUUUCCCAGUGCUAAGCCGUCGGCGCGCGCAGCGUCGGAUCCCAAAUCGAGGGCGCUCAAAAAGUCCAGAAAGGUGAACAUCCUUCACAGGCCACCACGCCACAACAUCAGUGGCGACAAGGAUGCCCGCAUGCAAGCAUCGCCGACGCAAUCGAUGUCCUCGUUGGGUUCAAGCACGAAGGCGUCCGCUGCUGGUCAGCCAACGACACUAGCUGCCCAGGCAGCUCUUCAACGGCAGCAUUCACAGGACCUUCGCACCACGGUCGCUUCUCUGGCGCUACCAGAGACCCCGGCGUUCCAGCGCGGGACUCCGGUCUCGCAGGGAGGCCGAGGACACGUCACAAAGUCGUCGUCAAAGACACACCGUCCCGCACACGUGCAGAAGCAAGACAGCACCGAUGGCAACGCGACCAACGGUCAGCCGCCACCUCUCUUAUCGUUCACGACGCUGUCGCGGCCUUCCACCAUGUCGCUCUCACUGUCUGCCAACGAGAGCUACUCGGCCAGCGUGGAUACAGUGCAGGAUUGCUUAUCCAAGGCAUCUCCGGCGGACAGCCGCGGCAUCGGAAGCACUGGUGUUUUUACUCUGCAUCAGAGCACGCUCCUCGUCAGCUAUGCCAGUCAGAUCUUGCGCCGAUCUAUUAAGGCCUGCGCUGCGGCGCAGCAGAUUCACGAGUCGAUGAAUCACAAAAUAUUUCACACACGCGUCGCGAUCGGCUCCCCGGAGCCGGGCGACGGCGGCGCGCUGCAGCUACAGUCCAGAGAGCUUACUCUGCGUCUCUUUCCCGACUCCAGGUGUCCGUACCACUCCACUUUCCUCGCCUGCACCGAGACAUUUUUCCAUGCCUCUCAGGCUCUCUUAGUGGCCCUGCUCGCUGCGGGAGCGUCACUGCCGGCCACGUCCGGGGCGACCGCAGCGGCGCCGCGGGACCUGGUGACGCAGCCGGCGACGGCUGUGUUCUCGCCUGCUGCCAUCGCGGCGGCCCCAUCGGCGGCGGUGGCGCGCCUUCAAGGGCCGCAACCGGGCCGGCAAGGGCCCUCUGCUUGUUUGACGGCUCAGCCCGCUGAGAGUGCGUACACCUCGGCGCCAGUGCAGAGCCAAGCGCCGUCGCAGUUGAAGGGAGGAGAGGAGCUCUCGGUGGGCGUGGAACUGCCUUUCAUCCCGGUGACGGUAAACGCGGGUGCGAUGCAGGAGGCGAUCAAUCGAGCCAUGGAGGACAACAUAGGCCUCUACCGGCGCCUACCGCCUGCGCUGCGCGGCUUGCUGGGCUUCUAUGACUACUGCAAGCACUGCAACAUCGAACUUCGUGCCGCUAUUGUCGAGACGCCAGAGAUUCUAGGUGAAAUGGCCACCCAUUUGGAGAAGUGGCUGGCGUCGCGUGCGCGGCAGCGCGAGAAUGUCGAGUGCUCUAACGCCAGCUUUGCUCUCUCCCUCUACGUGUCGAACAACUCGUGGGACUCGAGCAGUAGCCGUGGCGUCGAUGCGCUACUGGCCAGCCAACAGCACCUACGUCUCGACAGCGCCGCUCGCGGCAAGCUGCUCUGCCUGACGGCUGACUUUGCGACGACAAUCGGGCGUGAUCUCGGCCUCGCCACACUGGACCUCGCUCCGUCGGUGGUGAUGAAGCAGCCGUGCAGCUUUCAGAAACGGGCAAAGCGCUUCAAGAUGUUUGACGCGAUUCGCUUCCUCGUAUGGCGGCCUCUCAGCAUUUUCCUUGACCUAAGGACCCCAACGACCGCAAAACAACUACGAAGUAGCAGUCUUAGUACUGCCGAUGCUGCCUCCGUGGCAUGGGGAGAGGCGACGGAAGCCGAAAAGUCUGUUGUGAUGGUGGGGUGUACAGAACUGCGCGUUGUCACUGGUGUGAAGCUGCGCGACCCAAUAAUGUCGGUGCUCCCGACUACCACGGUGGGCUUGCUGGCCGAGGCAGUGGCCGCGCAGGUACAGCUCCCGCGGGCCUCUGUCUUCUCGCCAAGCUUCACUCUCAAGUCCUCGCAGUUGCCGCCAUCCCCCCGACCGCUGCACGCAUCACAGGAGCGUCAAAGCCUGUCCGAGCCAGAUUCUGGGAGAGGGGGCGCCGGGUCGCCGUGCCUCACGAGCCAAAACGGCUUUGAGGAGCGCCGCCUGGACCCAACGGCGACGGUGACGACGGCGUCUGCAACGGAGCCGCCCAUCUCUGCUGACCGCAUUCUGUUUUUCUUGAAUGAUACACCACUGUUUUCACCAAUGACGACGUUGCUCGACGCCUUGACCGCCUUCGCCGUCAGCGGUGCUAGCCUGCGCGACCUUGUGGAGAGACAGCGGCGCUCGUCGGAAUCUGUCGACGCGCACAGUUCCAAGAUCUCGGCGACGCUGCCGACGCUGCCAUUUUGGACGUUGACCCAUGCCCUUGAGUUUGUCGUGCUAGCAGAGCCGCUGCCAGCGUCGUUGAUUCUUGGCUUGGCGACAACGGCAUCCGCAUCUUCUGCGACGAGCUGCUGCUGCUGCGGGUGCGACGGCUUCAGACCGGCUUUCUUAUGCAGUCCUAAACACCUCUUCGAUGCAGCGCCGCCGAACGGCCCUCUCGCCCUAUUCUCUGCUCUCUCGACAGUAAUGCGGGAGGAGGUCGGGAGCUCGCUAGCGGUGCUAGAGAGCAACCAGCAACGCCUGAGCAGCGCUGUCGUGCACGAGCUGUACCACCAGUUGAAAAUGUUCAUGUUGCCGCCUUUGCUCUGGUGCUCCGGCAUCGGCGUCUCUUCCCACGGAGGACCGGGUGACCGCGUCGUCGGUACCGCCGCCACGCUGUCGUCAGGAGCCUUUCCCCUGCCGUCGUACGUGCUGUGGCGCUACCCCUUCAUUUUCUCCGCGGAAAUGCGCCUGUCGAUUUUCAGGUUUUUCAUUUCGGCGCAGCGCUCGCUGAGUCACGAGGAAGCGAAGCAUCUGCUGCAGAACUACCGUCACCUGCUCGUGCGGCAUGCACCAGCAGAAGAGGCACGGGCGGCGACGAGCGGCGCGGCCGGCGACACCGAGAAAACGCUCAACAUUGUGGGACUGCAGUGGCUGUCCGAGGAGGUGGUGCGUCGCCGCCGCGUCACGCUCACGGUGCAGCGGCACAACAUCCUACGCUGCGCUGAGGAGCUGAUACGGCUAGCCACUUGCAAUGUCACCAUCGACGUUGCCUUCGAGGGUGAGGCUGGUAUCGGAAACGGCCCUGCGAUGGAGUUCUACGAGAUGGUGGCUGAGGAGCUUUUGGAUCCGAAGCACGACCUGUGGCGCACCGAGCCGAUCCCGAUCGAUGAGCGGGCGGACUCGUCGUCCUUGAGGGCGGCGCCCUCACCGACUCGCAGCGCGAACCCGUCGCCGCGCACUGCCGCUACCGGUGCCCCACAACGUCGGCGCCCAUGCGCGCCGCUGUUCCCUGCUGCGAAGCAGACCUCGACCAGCCUUCACUACUGGAAGCUGCUCGGCGUUCUUCUUGGCCGCCUGCUGGUGAUUGGCACCACGUCCUCGCUUUACUUUCACCCCUUGCUUCUGCGCCGGUUGCGCGGGGAAUCGCUCAUGUCGACCGCGGAUGAGGCGUCUCAAAACAUGUCCCAGGUGGAUGCGGCGCUGGAGCUCACGCUGCAUCGACUCGAGACGAUGAACGCUGGUAGCCUGGCAGCGUGCGAGCUUUUCUUCACCAUCCCCGUCAGCGAGGCCGACGGCUACGUGCCAGGUGCGGUCGAGGAGCUGCCUCUCAUACCCGGCGGCGCCAAUCGCCAGGUCACGGUGGACAACGUGCACGAGUACACACACAGCCUGCGUGCCUACUACCUGCACACGGUGCCUGACCUCGUCCUGCUCCACUUGCGCCAAGGACUCCAACUCACCGUGAACCCGCUGUACCUGCAGCUGUUCACCGUCGAUGAACUGGGGCGGCUACUGGGCUCGCCGCUGGACUCUAAGGUAUGGGAAACGCGCGAGCAGUUCGCCCGCGACGUGGAGGCGGCGCACGGGUACCACAUUAAAAGCGAUGUGGUGCAGUACCUGCUCGAUAUCGUGCCCACGUGGAGCGCACAGAUGCAGCACGCGUUCCUGAAGUUUGUCACCGGUUCCAGCGCUGUGCCGUAUGGCGGGUUGACACAGCGCAUCAAGGUGGUUCGGCGAGACGUUGACGUGCCUGCGGCGGAUUUGUCCGUCACGCCCACUACGCACUCCUUCGGCGCCAGUGCUGCUGGGCUUGUCACCACCUCGAGCUUCACCGGCGGCGGCGUCAACUACGACAACAGCUUGCCAACCGUCAGCACUUGCUUCCUAUACUUGAAGCUGCCCCGGUAUAGCAGCAAGGCGGUGCUGCAGGAUCGCCUGCGCUUUGCUGUCUGCGAAGGACAGAGCUUCUUCUCAUUGACGUAGCCGAAAAUGCGCGUGGGGCUCUGUGACGCGGGCAUGGGAUGUGGGCAUGCUGCAGGAGGAGAAGAAGAGAAAGGGUAUGCGCUACGCGUGCGUACCCCCUUUGGACUCUCAGACUCCUUUCCGCCUUUAAGCGCGUGAAUCGGGCGCACUUUCUGCCUUGAUGGAUGGUUGUGUUGGCAGACUUCGCCUCUCAGCGAGGGUGCUGCAUCGCUUCUUCUGGUUUCCAUCCCCUUCUGCGCUCUCAGUACUCCUGCCCCCCCCCCUCUGCUGUUGGCCUUUCUUGAUUCUGCUUCCUAUCUGACCCUCAUCUCACAUGUCUCGCUUCUUCCCUGUUUGUACUCGUUUCCCACUCUCAUCACUAUCACGUGUUGCCCCUCCCCACCCCGAGUCCGGCACUUUGGUGUCGUGUUGGUCUCGUGCGCGCGCGCAUGUGCGUGCGGGUGUGCGUGUUUCUCUCGCUCUGCUGUUGAUUCCUCUCUCUCUCUUCUCCCUCACCCACCCCGUUUUCUUCUCUUUUAUCUGUUGUUUUGCAUCUUUUGUUCUUCUGGCUCGCCGCGCUCUCGUCUCCGGUGCGUUUUUUUUUCGAUUAUUAUUCUCGUUGUUGGUGUUUAGGUCAAGUGUAUUUUUAUGCCCAUCACCAAGGCCUUCUCCUCGGGUGCUUGAACCUCCCGCUUCGAUGCAUCUCUUCUUGUUGUGCCCUCGCUUUCCUACGCUGACAGUCGUUUGCUGAGGGUGCCUUGUUUGGCACACGCGCUCCUUGCAUCAAGACAGGGUGCGCCGUGUAUGUGUGCCUGUGAUUGGAUGUGGCAUGUAUGCGCAUCGCUUCUUUUUCACUCCCACGCUGAGCUUUUUUUUAGGAUCUUCGCUGCGGAAGCGGGGAUGUUCCACGCUCUACUUGCGCAUUCUCUUCCCCUCUUCCCCCCCCCCCGUCGUACGUUUUGGCGGGCGAAUGAGGCCGACAGGUACGCGAUGACGAGUGGCUCAAUGCGCGAAAUGUGAAAAGCGCAGCUGCACCGAUGAGGUGGUGGUGGCCCGUUUCACGCUGCCUCGAUGUUUGAAAUAAUACCACACAAACCACAGAGGACAAAAACCGUGCCUGCGCGCGCUGCGCGUUCUUUGGAAUCCAGUGAAUUGCGCGUGUGCGUGCAUGGCUCCAGAAGUCGACACACGUAUUAGGAGUGGGUGCCACGGAGCGGUGAAGAUGCCCUCUGCCGCUUUCUGUGGGCCCUUUCUCUCUCUCUCGCCCGUCCAACGGAUGCCGCACCUAUGGGGUUACAGCGAUACUCCUG